GGUUAAGCGACUAAGCGUACACGGUGGAUGCCCUGGCAGUCAGAGGCGAUGAAGGACGUGCUAAUCUGCGAAAAGCGUCGGUAAGGUGAUAUGAACCGUUAUAACCGGCGAUGUCCGAAUGGGGAAACCCAGUGCAAUUCGUUGCACUAUCGUUAACUGAAUACAUAGGUUAACGAGGCGAACCGGGGGAACUGAAACAUCUAAGUACCCCGAGGAAAAGAAAUCAACCGAGAUUCCCCCAGUAGCGGCGAGCGAACGGGGAGCAGCCCAGAGUCUGAAUCAGCUUGUGUGUUAGUGGAACGGUCUGGAAAGUCCGACGGUACAGGGUGAUAGUCCCGUACACCAAAAUGCACAGGUUGUGAACUCGAAGAGUAGGGCGGGACACGUGGUAUCCUGUCUGAAUAUGGGGGGACCAUCCUCCAAGGCUAAAUACUCCUGACUGACCGAUAGUGAACCAGUACCGUGAGGGAAAGGCGAAAAGAACCCCGGCGAGGGGAGUGAAAAAGAACCUGAAACCGUGUACGUACAAGCAGUGGGAGCACCUUCGGGUGUGACUGCGUACCUUUUGUAUAAUGGGUCAGCGACUUAUAUUCUGUAGCAAGGUUAACCGUAUAGGGGAGCCGCAGGGAAACCGAGUCUUAACUGGGCGUUAAGUUGCAGGGUAUAGACCCGAAACCCGGUGAUCUAGCCAUGGGCAGGUUGAAGGUUGGGUAACACUAACUGGAGGACCGAACCGACUAAUGUUGAAAAAUUAGCGGAUGACUUGUGGCUGGGGGUGAAAGGCCAAUCAAACCGGGAGAUAGCUGGUUCUCCCCGAAAGCUAUUUAGGUAGCGCCUCGUGAAUUCAUCUUCGGGGGUAGAGCACUGUUUCGGCUAGGGGGUCAUCCCGACUUACCAACCCGAUGCAAACUACGAAUACCGAAGAAUGUUAUCACGGGAGACACACGGCGGGUGCUAACGUCCGUCGUGAAGAGGGAAACAACCCAGACCGCCAGCUAAGGUCCCAAAGUCAUGGUUAAGUGGGAAACGAUGUGGGAAGGCACAGACAGCCAGGAUGUUGGCUUAGAAGCAGCCAUCAUUUAAAGAAAGCGUAAUAGCUCACUGGUCGAGUCGGCCUGCGCGGAAGAUGUAACGGGGCUAAACCAUGCACCGAAGCUGCGGCAGCGACACUAUGUGUUGUUGGGUAGGGGAGCGUUCUGUAAGCCUGCGAAGGUGACCUGUGAGGGUUGCUGGAGGUAUCAGAAGUGCGAAUGCUGACAUAAGUAACGAUAAAGCGGGUGAAAAGCCCGCUCGCCGGAAGACCAAGGGUUCCUGUCCAACGUUAAUCGGGGCAGGGUGAGUCGACCCCUAAGGCGAGGCCGAAAGGCGUAGUCGAUGGGAAACAGGUUAAUAUUCCUGUACUUGGUGUUACUGCGAAGGGGGGACGGAGAAGGCUAUGUUAGCCGGGCGACGGUUGUCCCGGUUUAAGCAUGUAGGCUGAUUGUCCAGGCAAAUCCGGAUAAUCAAGGCUGAGGUGUGAUGACGAGGCACUACGGUGCUGAAGUAACAAAUGCCCUGCUUCCAGGAAAAGCCUCUAAGCAUCAGGUAACAUCAAAUCGUACCCCAAACCGACACAGGUGGUCAGGUAGAGAAUACCAAGGCGCUUGAGAGAACUCGGGUGAAGGAACUAGGCAAAAUGGUGCCGUAACUUCGGGAGAAGGCACGCUGGUGUGUAGGUGAAGCCCCUGCGGGUGGAGCUGAGACCAGUCGAAGAUACCAGCUGGCUGCAACUGUUUAUUAAAAACACAGCACUGUGCAAACACGAAAGUGGACGUAUACGGUGUGACGCCUGCCCGGUGCCGGAAGGUUAAUUGAUGGGGUUAUCCGUAAGGAGAAGCUCUUGAUCGAAGCCCCGGUAAACGGCGGCCGUAACUAUAACGGUCCUAAGGUAGCGAAAUUCCUUGUCGGGUAAGUUCCGACCUGCACGAAUGGCGUAAUGAUGGCCAGGCUGUCUCCACCCGAGACUCAGUGAAAUUGAACUCGCUGUGAAGAUGCAGUGUACCCGCGGCAAGACGGAAAGACCCCGUGAACCUUUACUAUAGCUUGACACUGAACAUUGAGCCUUGAUGUGUAGGAUAGGUGGGAGGCUUUGAAGCGUGGACGCCAGUCUGCGUGGAGCCAACCUUGAAAUACCACCCUUUAAUGUUUGAUGUUCUAACGUUGGCCCCUGACCGGGGUUGCGGACAGUGUCUGGUGGGUAGUUUGACUGGGGCGGUCUCCUCCCAAAGCGUAACGGAGGAGCACGAAGGUUAGCUAAUCCUGGUCGGACAUCAGGAGGUUAGUGCAAUGGCAUAAGCUAGCUUGACUGCGAGCGUGACGGCGCGAGCAGGUGCGAAAGCAGGUCAUAGUGAUCCGGUGGUUCUGAAUGGAAGGGCCAUCGCUCAACGGAUAAAAGGUACUCCGGGGAUAACAGGCUGAUACCGCCCAAGAGUUCAUAUCGACGGCGGUGUUUGGCACCUCGAUGUCGGCUCAUCACAUCCUGGGGCUGAAGUAGGUCCCAAGGGUAUGGCUGUUCGCCAUUUAAAGUGGUACGCGAGCUGGGUUUAGAACGUCGUGAGACAGUUCGGUCCCUAUCUGCCGUGGGCGCUGGAGAAUUGAGGGGGGCUGCUCCUAGUACGAGAGGACCGGAGUGGACGCAUCACUGGUGUUCGGGUUGUCAUGCCAAUGGCACUGCCCGGUAGCUAAAUGCGGAAGAGAUAAGUGCUGAAAGCAUCUAAGCACGAAACUUGCCCCGAGAUGAGUUCUCCCUGAGACUUUAAGUCUCCUGAAGGAACGUUGAAGACGACGACGUUGAUAGGCCGGGUGUGUAAGCGCAGCGAUGCGUUGAGCUAACCGGUACUAAUGAACCGUGAGGCUUAACCUU
rnacentral:rRNA from 1 species